rnacentral:lncRNA from 1 species
CCUCGCCUUACAGAAAUCCAAAGUUAUAAAUACAGAGCAUAUUUGAAGAAGCCACCUCGCUCUUUUGACACUUCAUUUUCCUUCUCGACCUCAAGAGAGUGCUCAAUUUUCCCUCCAAUCAAAUAGCAGCCUGACGCGCACCUCUCAUCCGCUGUUUCCAGGCAACUCUUCCUCUUUUUCUUUCACAUUAUAGCCCGUAUAAUCUGGCGUAUGAGAUACACUGGAAGAUCUUAUGUUUUUGCCUUCACCAGUUGAUUCUUCUGGAAUCGAUCUUCAACUACCUGUUUGAUCUAUUUGAAAUGAAGUCUUUGUUCUUAGAUUGUAAUUUUAUCUCUCAUUUAUGAAUUUGUUCUUUAUCGAAUUAGGUUAUGCGAUUGGUUACUGCUGGUUCAACGUGAAAACUGUUCGAAAUUGAGCUCUCCUCUUCUCAGUUUCCUUUUUUUUUUUUCGGUUGAUUUCACUGGUCUUUGACCAUAAUCACUCUGUCCUCGCUUCUCAGUUUUAGGUUAAAUUUGACGUUUAACCAGUGUCAUUGAAAAUGGGAUAGUUAUACAUUAUACCAUAUGCUCAGGUUGAUUCUCUAGGGUCAUGUUUCUGUUAAAUGAUCUAUGACUAUUUGUUUUGCAAAGUUACUGGUAUGUUCGGAGCAGUUUUUCCCAAAUGAUUUUUUUUUUAAAUCUGAUUUGUGGAUUUUUCUUUUCCCUUGCAUUUUAAUGCUGGACUUUAUUCUUUGACCUUCUAACAAGUUCGCUUUAUUGCUUUAUAGAAUUCUCUUUAAUUUAAUCUAUCUUUGGCUUUGUGCUCUUUUGUGUUUAAUAUAUGAGAAGUUAGUGUGGGCUUACUUGAUUGUUUUAGAGUGAGAUUUUCUGUUCCUCUCUACUAGUUGCGAAGGUGUGCUCUGAAUAGCUGAUUUGUCAUUAACUAGAAAAUGAAUAUUCAUUUAGCCAAGGUUUCAGAAAAAAAAACAAGAAGAAAAAUAAUUUAGGCAAAAAAGAAAAAAAAAGCUCUGAGAGGUUCAUUUGUCUGUAUCCUGUGAGACAUGACAUCAUCUCUAGAUGGCUAGCUAGUUGUCUACGGGAUGACAAUUGUAGGUCCAAGUGAGAUCUUUAUGAGGCAAUAAUUACAAGAGAUAAAUUUGUGUGAAAACUGAAAACUUGCUUCUCUUUGAUCAGUGGUUUUAACUUUUAUACAAGGCAGUAAACUGACUAACUAUAACGAACUAGCAAGAACGUACACAUGCUACAGCUACUGAAUCUUCCCAAGAUUUCUAGAAUAAAUAGUUCAGCUCAGCUUUCUCUGCAUCGAUCCUAAAGUCUGUGAUAAUAAUGAUCUAACUAAGGUAUUUUUCCUCUUCUAUUAUAAAUUAAUUGGCAUAUUUACAUAGUGAAUCUAUCUAUCUAUCUAUCUAUAUAUAUAUAUACUCAUUUAUGAGGAUUUAAGAGCUCAUUUGAUUUUUAAUAUUACUUCAACUUGAUGUUUUCUCACCACUGAAUUAGACACUUGUACUUCAAUAUGGUCAUAUUGUUGUAGAUAGACCUUUCAACACAUGCCAAAUUUAAAUAGUAAAUUUUGCUCAUAUCUUAGUGUUGUCUGGUUGUUGCCGUUCUUAACCAGUACAGGCACCUACAUCACAGAUGGCAGAAUCACAGAAGGGAAAUUCCUCAUCUGUUGAUCCCAAAGAGAAAAAAUCAUCUUUAG